UUAGGAUGACUUACAAAGCUAGUUAAAAGAAAAGGAAAGUUUUGAGCGGGGGAAAAUUGAGGUAUCAACAGUAACUUUUAGAAUAGUGCACGGCUCGAAGAUGGCCACUACCACAGCUAUUGUCUGUAUCGAUCAUCCCAAUAACUGCAAAUUAGCGGCCUCACCAACCAAGCCUUCACUGUUCUUCAUCAAUUGUCUUGAAGACCGAGCAGAUGUGUUCCUCCACUGCUAUUCAUCUCCAAUAUUAAUAAAGAAGCUUGGAGCUCACAGAGGUGACAACCCCACUUCCCCUUCACAUCUAUAAAAAAGGAGCUUUCCUCCCAUUCAUAUCCAUCUCUGUCCGAUUUGCGUGUGAGCUGAAAUAGAGAGGCCGAUGAGAGGGGGGAGAUCGUGAGAGAAGGGAGCAAGGUUUAGGGCUUGAAUAUCGAGGUCCUGUUUGGUUAUGUGUUUUGAGUGGGCUUGUGGUUGUUGUAGCCUAUUGGGGUUUUGGGCAUGCUUUGUGUUUUAUUUUUUGGUGUCUUUUUUACGGCCUUCUUGGUCGCGCAUCUCUCUCUCUCUCUCUUUCUCUCUCUCAUUUGAUAUAUGUAGUUUUCUUGGUCAUGGAUCUGUCUGUCUAUCUGUCUGUCUGUCUCUCUCUCUCUCUCUCCGUCUCUCUCUUGUAUUUGAUAUAUGUGGUUUGCCUGAGGAAAAUAUUAUUUUAUUUUACCAUUUCCUGUGUGAAUUGUGGUUGCCUUGAUCAUAUCCUGAGAGUUGUGUUUACAAUUUCUCUGUGACUUGUUGGAGUUAAAUUGAAAGAAUAUUCACUACGCAUACUGCCUUGUAUGUUUGUUUCCAAUUGUAUAGAAUUAGCCUAAUUGCCAGCAUGCUAAAACUUCCAAUUUUAGCUCACUUUCCCUACCUUAAUAUAUAAAGGAAAAAACAUGCUUUCAUGGUAGUAUUCAGCAACCUUCUUUGACCAAGUUUCUUUCUUCUUCUGAUUCAUAUUUAGUUAGCUACGAAUAUCCUCUCUUCCCUGAUCAAUGCAAGUGCUGGGCAUAGACUUUUAAUUUUUUUUCCAAUCAUGUGAUAGCAGACUCAUGCGGAAAAUUUUAUAUUGGGCUUCAGUACCAUGCCUGCGAUGACCAUAUCCUGAAGAAUAUAUAUACUUCUAUAGUCCGGAAAAGCUGUGCCCUUCUCCUUUAAAUGCAGCAGGAGUUAGAUUCUCGAUUAUACUACCAACUAAAGAAGACCAUUUCAAUAGAGAUUGGUGAUGGAUCUUUCUUUUUGUUUUUACUGCAGUACUGUCCUCAGCAAAAAAACAAAACCAAAGGAGGUGGAAUUGUGCAGGGUCAAGCCAAUGAACAAGAUUUUAAUCAGCAUCUUCAAGGGAAGAAGAAGAAGCAGUAUUCAAUGACGUCAAUAGAGACUUCAGGCUAAAUAUACCAGCAUUGGCAUAAAGGAGAAGACCACCACUGAAUGGUAAAGAAGACACCUAACUUUUCUUGUAAAGUAGAGAAGAGAAGGGUAUUGAAUCCUCAUUUCAGGGGGAACAAACGCUCCCUGCGCAGGUAACAAACGCUCCCUGGCGCAGGUACCUUUCUCUCUCUCUCUCUCUCUGUCUCAGAUAUUAUUGUUCUGCAGUCUUAGAUAUUAUUAUGCUGUAGAAGUAAAUAGUUUCUUGGCAGGCUUGCUAAAUUUUGAGGAUAUUUAGGGUUUGCUUUCUAUGAUGAACAUAACAUAUUUGCAUUCUCAGUGCCUCGUACAUUUGGUGGAGGCAAGCAACAUCUUAAGGAAAGUAAAGUGCCUUAAGAGUGCUGCUUUCACCUCUUCCAUUUUAUUAUCUUCUAUAUUAUACUUCCAUAAAGCAUGCAUCUACUUCUUUAAGCUCUUUAACACAUAUAUCAGAUCAGAUCUUAUGAGUUUUUCCAACACACAAGGGAUGAAGAAAGACAACUAGAUAUUGAACUAUAAACGAGAUCGAUAUCAUUAAACUCUAGUUGAUUGAUUUUUUGCUGGCCCCACAAAAAGGUUCUUUAACUGCUUGCAGAUCAGCUGUUGGCCAAUAAAAUUAUCCUUAAGAAAACUCGGUUGCUUAGAAAAUAACAUAUAGAGAGACUUCUUGUCAAGAGAAUAAAAGGUAAAGAAGAGAAAGGAAAAGAAAGGAAAGGAAAGAAAAGCAAGAGAUGCAGCCUGGGGGGGGCCAUGCAAGAAAAGCAAUGAACACUUGACCAGUCCAUUGCCAAAAUCCAAGUGGUGGGACGUUGAAGUAUGAUGGAGCUAGACCAGUAUAUGUAGCAUUAUCCUUGAAGGCGUCCUUACCCAGCUCCUUUUUUCUUGUUUCCUCUUUUCUUCUUCUUUUCAGAUUCAUAGCACGCAGCGAGAGAAAGUGCUUUCUAUGCUACCAACAAUGGGCCAAUCCUUAUUAUAGAUUCAUAGCACACAGCUAGAAAAAGGGCUUUCAUGCUGCCAACAAUGGGCCAAUCCUUAUUAUAGUGGGUCCAGCAAAGAAGAAAACCAAAGGAGUGGAGUUGUGCCCUCUGUCAAACCAGUGAACAAGGUUUUAACCAGAAUCUUGAAGGGAAGGGGCAGAAGUCAAUGACAUCGAUAGAGACGUGAGGCUAAACAUGCCAGCAUUGAUUAAUGGGAAAGAAGAAACCGAACUUUCCUUGAAAAGUAAAGUGAAGGGUAUUGAUUAAUCUUCCAUUUCACCCAGGUACCUCUCUCUCUCUCUCUCUCUCUCUUUCUCUCUUUCUGUGCAUCAAGCAAGUCUCAGAUAUUACUAUUCUGCAGUCUUAGAUACUAUUCUUCUACAGAAGUAAAUAGAUUUUGGGCAAGCUUGCUAUA